UACAGAGGUCCCGAGCGUUGUUCGGAUUUAUUGGGCGUAAAGGGUGCGUAGGCGGCGGAGUAAGUUGGGUGUGAAAUCCCUCGGCUUAACCGAGGAACUGCCGUCCAAACUGCUUCGCUUGAGACCGGGAGAGGUGAGUGGAAUUCCCAGUGUAGCGGUGAAAUGCGUAGAUAUUGGGAGGAACACCAGUGGCGAAGGCGGCUCACUGGACCGGUACUGACGCUGAUGCGCGAAAGCGUGGGGAGCAAACGGG
rnacentral:rRNA from 1 species